UACGUAGGGGGCAAGCGUUGUCCGGAUUUAUUGGGCGUAAAGAGCGUGUAGGCGGCCAGAUAGGUCAGCUGUGAAAACUCGAGGCUCAACCUCGAGACGUCGGUUGAAACCAUCUGGCUAGAGUCCGGAAGAGGAGAGUGGAAUUCCUGGUGUAGCGGUGAAAUGCGCAGAUAUCAGGAAGAACACCCGUGGCUAAGGCGGCUCUCUAGUACGGUACUGACGCUGAGACGCGAAAGCGUGGGGAGCGAACAGG
rnacentral:rRNA from 1 species